UCAACUUGUCUACAAAGAAGAAUUUAUUUAUUUAUAUCACCAUAAAAAAUACUAUAAAAAUAUGAUAAAUGCUAGGGUUUGCAAUUGGAUCCUGCGAAUACACAAAGGCACAGCCGAAUAUGAUAAAUGCUAGGGUUUGCAAUUGGAUCCAACGAAUACACAAAGGCACAGCCGAAUGCUCCAAUCCUUCAAUCUUUUCUGUUUCCUCGCUACAAAUUGUGUUUAACACAAUCAAUUUUAUUGUUUUCAUGUUUGAUGAAGAUGAUGUAUGCUGCAACAAUUCACAGAAGAGUCAGAUUUCAAGUUUGUGCGUGAAUCUGAUGAGAUGAGUACGCACUUGAUGUGGGGGAUGUUGAUAGUCAAUUCUAUCAACAUUUUCCUGAUUUGAUAAUCAAUCGGUGUUGUAUUAGUUUGUUAGAUUCACGCACAAACUCGUAAUCUGUCUUUUCGAUUUCCGCUCUGGUUUUAUCAGUCUUACCUUUCCCCGGUUUGUUAUGUUCUUGAUCUCGAUCCCGAUCUCGAUCUCCAAGGAAGUUCAUAAAUGGAAUUCCUAGAUUGGCGAAUCUGCUGGAACAGACUAAUAAAAUUAGGGGAACUGUGGUUAUUAGAUUAUUAAGAGCAUAGGGCUUUUGCUUUUGCCUCUUGUAGAAGAGCUUCUUCAGCUCUAGCCAGGCAAAGCACCCCCACAACAUUUUAUAAACAUGUUCAAAAGCAGCUAUUUAGGCCAGAAGCAGCUUUCAGCUUUUCAAAAGCCAUGCCAAAUUGGCUUAAUAUGAUGAACAUGAUAAAUAUGUUCUAUUUUGUGAAAUUUAGGAACUUUGUAUUGAAUAUAUUUUCGAAUUGAGAUUGUUUUAGUUUCAUUAUUAUUUUUAUCUUAUAGUUUUGCUAAGAUUGAAAGCAAAUCCUUAUCCUUUCUAACAUUUGAAGCUUAUGUUGAGGAUAGAGAUAUAAGCUGUAGAUAAGUAUUGGGAAGAUGAAUCCGUAUAUACAUCUAGUUUAUGUUUGGCUAGGCUUAAUAAAUUUACUUAUAAGUGAAAAAGGUAGAGUUGGAAAUAUUAAAGUUAUUGUCUUGUUCAUUGUCCAAAGAAGUAACUUCUUUAGAGAAUCUCCGAAAGGCUCUCUAACAGAGAGCUUCUUAUAUAUGAUAGAGAGCAUCAUUAAAUUUAUAGUGUAAAUUUUUUUUUAAACCCUCCAACAAUGCUAUCUAUUUUAACAUUAUUUUUCUUUUUUUCAUAAACAUUUAUUGUUUCCCUUCAUCUAUUUACUUUUUUUUUUUUUUUUUUUUAAGAUUUUUAUGGCCAAUCAAUUCAAAUAUGGUUUGAAUAAUUUGAGAAGUGGAAUAUUGAGAACUGUAACUUAUCAAAUGUAAUCAUUACAAUGUAAAAAUAGAGAGUAAGUUUAGCUCUUCAAAUCCAGAGAAAAUCACUCUAUAUUUUAAAAAAUUAACAGCCUUUUGGAGCUUAUUUUUAUGCAUUGGCUUUAUAAAAUAAAGAGAAUCUUGUAAUUAGAGAGUCUCUUUGAGGCGCUUUUCAUUAUCAAUAAGAAGAAAGUAAAAUUUUAGUGAUAUCCAAACAUCUUUAAUUUGCUUACAAUCGAAGCUCAAGAUGCUGAUAAUUAUGUUCUCUUCUGAUUCAGCUUGUCCAAUUAUUACUUGUUACCAAGUACGUAUAUUAAAUAUAUGUAUUUUCUGAGUCGAUUUAUGACUGAAAUUCUCUUGUGGUGCUUUAUACUGAAAAUUUAUGGAAUUAAUGAUCUAGAUAGAAAUCAGAUUUGUUUUUGGUUUUUGUUAUGAACAUUGUUGAAAUGGAAAAAUACUUCUGCAUUUUUGUCUUAAAGACUAUGCUGAAGAUGAAGUAUGCCAGAAAUAUAGGAAAAAAUGUCUUUAAUAGUCAUUAAUUCUCUUGGCCAUCAUGGAAAUGUAGGGGAUAAAUACCAUUUCCCUUUCUUUACCUACGUGUGAAAAGUGUUUCAAGUCCCACUCAUCUCCAGUGUCUCUUUCACUAUCUUUUCCCUACCCCUUGUCCACUUCUUUGAUCUACAUGUGUAUGUAUGCUUAGAUUUGAUUGGCAUUGUUUCAUUCAAUAGGUUCAUUAUACACGUGCAUGCCAUUUGAGAUUGGAUUUUCUGAAAUAUGGUAACUUUUGGUUUCAAUUUAUGCAGAGACUUGAUGGGAUUAGUGACAUUGUUAACUGAUAUUUCCAGGUUUAAUGAAUGUGUUAUGAAGUAUGAACCUCUUUAUUUUUGUAUAGUUUGAGAGAUUAAGUCAAUUUCUGGUGGCAAAUUCUUGAGUAGUUCAGAAUAGCCUUUCUAGCAGAGUGGAAAUUUUACCCUUUUUAUUAGUUUAAGAUAAGAUGCAUUUUUGGA